CAUAGAUCCCUUUUUGAUAAGC
rnacentral:miRNA from 1 species